rnacentral:lncRNA from 1 species
UGCCGUAUGUCUAGUCUCACAAGAGAAAGGCCGAAAGUAGAAACUUGCCGUAAGAAAUCAAGAAGGCUCCCAUCAGCAAUUGCCUUGUCACCACAGGAACAGAGUGACCGGUAACACAGUUCAAGAGGCUCCAGGAACUACAAUUGUGCAAAACAAAAUAUCAGCUGAUAUGUUUUGUACACAGUUCAGAUGAUAGGUUUUGUACAAUAAAAAAUAGAUGGGGGAAUGUUCCAACAGAAAUUUUGCAUUAAGCAUCAAAUAUAAAUAUAAAGGCUCAAAAUUGGGAGUAGACUGAAAAUUUAUUGAAAUUGGAUAGACUAUGGCAAUGGUAUUUUUUUUUUUUUUUUUUUUUUUUUUUUUAACUCGGUGAAAGCCAUGAUAGGAAAUACCUGUUCAACACUAGUAAAAGUUGUAUCCUCAGGAAUGUCAGAGGUUAGACUGGAUAAUAGUUGACGAGCACGUUCACGUGUAUUGUAGAGCUUGUCUCUCACACCACCAAGAAUAACACGAUAUGGCUCGUUCGGAGGAAUUUGUUUCCAAAACUCUAAUAAUUAGCAAUGAUUAGAAAAAGCCAUCUAUAAUUGAACUCAAGGACAGGUCACAAAUAUAAUAAUCACAGCAACAAUAGUAAUUCACCAAUGUUAUGAAGUUUUAUGUCAGUUUGGGGAAAAAAAUGAAAUGAAACCUUUAUAAGGAACAAAAGAAAGAGAGGUAUAGUGAUAUAAGUAAUGGUCAAAGAUUUAAAGUUUUGCUGCAAGUUCGAGAACUUCCACACAUAAAAUGACAGAAACGUGAAAUCAUUGCAUACCUAUGUAGUGUUUUGCAUCCUUCCUUGAAGACCUAUGAAGUUCAUGAGCACGAGCAAGAAGCUCUUCGUUGCAACGCCACAUAGAUAACUGCGGGAAAGAAAACAAUAUAAGACAUUGCAAAGGGAAUAACAUAUUUAAAAUACUCUGAAGGUCAUGAUUAUUAUUUCACACCUCAAACAUAAGAUCCUCUAUCUGGGAGAAAUACAAGUUAGCAGCCAUCAUUCUAGCCAAUAAGCAUACAUCCCUUGUAACUUCUGGAGUGACCCUGGGAUUUCCUGCAGUCCAUAUUAGAGCGAUCAUAAGCUACAUAAACCACGAUGUAGUCAUGCUUCUGAAGAACAUGUUGAGAGAGAUAUCAUAGUGAUGAAAACAGCACUGGACAGAAUAUGUUUUGAAAGUAGGAAGCAUAAGAUGAGCAUACCAUCACGAUCCCCACCCAUCCAAGAAGAAAAUUGAAUGAGAGGGGCAUUGUACGGAACACGUUCAUUUAUCCCAAUGUUCUUCAACGCAGUGUCAACUCGUCGUAAGAAUUUUGGCACACCUUUCCAAAUUGUCUCAUGGAAGUAGCUCAUUCCUGCCCUCAUCUCAUCUUGAGGGGUUGGAGGAGUCCUUCGGAUUUCAUCAGUGCGAAAUGCAGCUUGAAUCUACAUUAAAGAAAUAGAUGUUAUUCAUUAAAUUUGAAUAAUAAUUUAUUACUGCAGAUCCCGUCAGGGUAUACUAGACCACUAAUGAUUAUUAGAUAGAGGGAGGGGGUGGAGAUGUUGGCAAUUGCAGCUAACUUACAGACAAUGUCAGGAUAGUCCAGAGAACUUAGGUUUAUUUUCAAACUGUGCAAGAAUAUAUUUGAAAUAGUGUAUAGUGAUUGGAUUUAGUAUCAAUCAAAUGGCAUUGUUUGAAACUCAAUCAGUUUGUCACUCCACAUACCUCCCUUUGUAGAGCCUCAUCGAGUUCUUGUUUAUCAUCAGGUGUAAUAUCCUUGGCAUACAACUGUGUCAGACAAUUUCUUACCCUGAGAAGAUUAAAAAUACAACAUCAAUAACACAACCAUAAACUCAUCACAGUAUGCCAGCAACAUAAGAUAAGUAAACAGGGUAAUGGAGAAUGUACCUUGCAUGCUUUUGCAGCAGAGAUCUGCGAACAGACUGAGUAGGAUGUGCGGUUAGAACCAAAUCUAUAGUCUGGUUCUUCAAUUCAUCAAAAACUUCUUGUGGGGACUUCUUCAGUUGCCCAACAAGCUUCUUGAAUGUCUCUUCAAUGUCUGACUCCGUUGUAGCAUUUGCUUCAUCAACAAAAUCUCCCUUCUUCAACUUUAUCCUUCUCCGAUAGGCGAUCUGGACUUCUUCAGCCAAAUUGGCCAAGUUAAGCAUGUGGGAAAAGGACUUGGCCACAACAAUGGAGUCACCAGGAUCCAAACUUGUAAACACAUUUCCAAGUUCCUCCAACUUUUUAGGGUCCUGCUUUCCUUCAUAUUCCGCGGAUAGCUCAUAACAAUCUUGAACCUAUAGCAAAUCAGAUCACAAAAGUCAAUAAACACUCCUCUAUCCUCAGAUAUUCUAGCUUAAUAAUCCCCGAUUACCUAAUAACUACAUUGUAGCGCCUAACAUGCAGAACUUUUAAGUGAAAUUUCUUAGAUAAAUGGAAUCGUUACUAUUUUCUCUGUAACUCAUAAUAUGUCCAUAUUACAACCUUGAACACUACAAAGGAAUGACAUUUGGAGAGUUUUUCAAUGCAAAGAACAAUAAAAGAAGAAUGGCAGCUGAAUUACAAACAAAAAAGCAUGCUGCUAGACAAAAUAGUUACUUUUCAAUUUUCGUAUCAUAGAAAAUGAAUUGAAAAAGUUUAAGAUACUCCCAAGUCCCAAACUAGCAUUUUAGUUAGUGAACAAACAAAGCGAUAGAUAACAUCAAGGUUUAUACCAGAAAAACAAAACAUAAAACAUAAAAGCAUACACAACAAACACAAAACAACAACUAAACUCGAUCAAAACUAACAUGAUACCUACCCCUGAAAUUUACUAAACUAUCAACAAGUUAACUCCACAAGCAGUCAAUGGUAAUUCAACGCAAGUAAAAAACUAAUCAGAAGAGAGAAAAAAGGACUAAAAUUCAGUACCGUUUCUCUGAGAUCCUCCCCAUGUAAAUCCUGAAGAAUGUCAAGAAAGCGAUCCAACAACAAAGCAUCAUACUCGAUGAGUUUGUCAUCCUCAGACACCUUGCCCGGUGCCAACAGCCUCAGCUGCGCAUCAAUUGAAGCCAUCUUCUCCAAAUUCCUCGAAGCCAUGGUGGCCUNNNNNNNNNNNNNNNNNNNNNNNNNNNNNNNNNNNNNNNNNNNNNNNNNNNNNNNNNNNNNNNNNNNNNNNNNNNNNNNNNNNNNNNNNNNNNNNNNNNNNNNNNNNNNNNNNNNNNNNNNNNNNNNNNNNNNNNNNNNNNNNNNNNNNNNNNNNNNNNNNNNNNNNNNNNNNNNNNNNNNNNNNNNNNNNNNNNNNNNNNNNNNNNNNNNNNNNNNNNNNNNNNNNNNNNNNNNCUCUCUCUCUCUCUCUCUCUCUCUCUCUCUCUCUCUCUCUCUCUCUCUCUCUCUCUCUCUCUCUCUCUUUGCUUCUCUCUGCUUUCUGGGUUUCUGGGUCACUCUGUAUUUGACUUUUUUUUAACCAACACAAAACUGCAUGGUAUCAAUAAGGAACCAAAACCCAAUAAUUUUGAAGGAAAACAGAGUAUACAGAUGUAGUGAAGCACACACCGGAUUGAAGUAGAGCACAAACUGUGUGAAGAAAAGGAGGUGAUAUAUAAUGGGGAAAAGGAAAAAGGAGAAGCAAGAGUUGGGGGAAGCAAAGCGAAACUCGUGAGACCCAGAUGAAGAGAAACGGGUUGCUUAUGAUCCGAGCACGAGAAAGUAGAAAGGAUUAGAGACGGAGGGUGUUAGAUCACGGAAGGGUCCAGACAGAAGAGAGAAGUGAGGAGUGUGAGUGUGUGUCUGUGGGAUGUAAAGCAGGACUUUUUCUGUCUUGAAUUUAGAGAGAGAGAGAGAGAGAGAGAGGCCGAGAAUUUAGUAUUUUUACAUUUUUACAACGAAAAUGGUGUUAUUUACACCUUAUGUUUCUAUUUACACAUUUUAUCUAUUUAUUAUUACUAUAAUUCAAUUUUAUUUACAAAUUACUCUUAAUUUGCAUCAUGAUUAGAUAAUCCUAUUAUAGACGGGUGUGUAACUAUAAAAAAUCGAGUGUGUGUGAAUAACACAACACUUUUGACAAUGUAACUAAAAAUUAAAUGUAUUUGAGCGAGUAUAUAUAAAUAUUAAGCAGUAAUCACAAAUGCUUACUUAACUUUUAGUCUAACAUAACCAGUAUAUGAGGGUUAAAAACUUAGAAUUUAGCUAGAUCAACACUUCGGUUUCUCUCUUCUUUUUUUUUAGAUGAAACCAAACUCAAAUCCAAAGCGUGUUGCAUUGUUUAGAUGUGUAUUUGAAUUAUGAACUCUUGUUUUUUCGUUGUACUCUUGGGCAGUCAUUUUGUUAUUAAUGUAAGAACGUUUAUUUUUGAUACCUUUACAUUGUAGGUUCAAUGAAAUAACUAUCUAGAGAAUCAUUUCCCAUCUAGUCUUCUUCAAAAAAUAAAAUGACUUUCUUUCCAAACAAAAGAAAGUUUCAACCUAACUUCAUGCGAUUGACGUACAGAAUGAGUAGGAUUUAAGUCAAGCGUUUUUAUUCACUCUAAUAUAACAAGAAUAAAAAUUUUGUUAUUUUCUAAUAAAUUAUAAAUUUGGUAGGGUUCCCAUAACCGUACCAUAAAUUUUCUUGAUUUAUUUUAUUUCUUUAAUAUCAGAUUGUGUCUAUAAUUUUCAUAGAAAAUGACGGUCUACUCUAUUGGAUAUAACAAACCAAGUCACUGCCUAUGUAACUAAGCAACUCGUAUCAGUAAUACCUUGAAACUGAAAUUGGUGAACUCAAAGUCUAUACUAAUGAUAUGAGCACAAAGUGCUAUGUUUAUAAUGUGUUUCCUACCCUGUUUAGCUAUGAUAUUCUCAUAAUUAUGUCAUUUCUAACAUGCUUUGUGAUUGUAAAGGACAUGAGAGCAUAAAUCAAGAAAAAAAAACUAAAUCAUGGAAAUAACAGAAAAAUGCAGAAAAAGACAGUGAAGCCUUCUUGCAGUCCAAGGAAGGAAGAAGAUAGCCCAAAAGAAGGUCCAAGUCCAAGGAUGAAAGAGAAAAAUUCAGAAAACCCAAAAGAAGGCCCGAGCUGUCCAAGGAAGGAGAAAAGUCAAACAUGUGCUCAUAAAGAAGAAAAGUCAAACAUUUCUCCUAGUCCCACAUCAUUUUUGAAGAGAAGUUCCACCAAGAGUUCUUCUAUAUAUAGACAGCCUUGGGUACUUCUCAAAUCAUCAUUCAUUCACACAAAAGUCAAGGAAACACAUAGCUCUGCUGAGCAGCCUCUCUCUCUUCUUUGCUGAGUUUCUUCCUUGCCAAAGCCUUGUUGGACGUUUCCACAAGAGCAGCAGCUUGGGAGCCUUGAAUCUUUGAAGCUGGGGCACUUUGUUGAUGUCUACAAGCUUCUUGAAGACUGAUAAAGUGUAACCAUACUUCUGUUUUAUUUAGUUUUCCUUUACAAUUUCAGAAACAUGUUUUCGGUUUUCAAAUAUUGGAUUUGGAUGUUGUUUCGAUGGUUAUGUUGUUAGUAAAUUCUGAGUUUCAAUAAAACAUGCUAAAGUUUCGUUAAUGAUAUUUUUAGCAAUCUGAUCUUGUCAAUUCAUAGGUUAGAAAGUAUGUGUUGUUGUUUGAUAUACCUAUGUUAAAAUGCAUGCUAACUAAUGUCAUGAUUUAUGCUAAAGCCUCGUAGGUAAGUGUAGAUCUCUAGUGGUGGAAGCUGUGUUACAGAUAUGGCUAAAUACAUAUACUAUGCAAUCCCUGGUGUGACGUUCACAAUAUAAUUAUGUUCAAUCUCGUUCUAUAGAUUCUAAGGACUUAUGUUAAGUGUAGAUAGAUACUUGUAGUAUUGAUAGCAACCUUGCAUGAGAUGUCCUAGUUCUAGACGUUCUGUGUUAGGGAUAAGUAAGUAGAACUAUAAAAUGCAUGACCUCGUAGGCUUGUAUUUUGAGAUUGUUUCUAGUUCUCUGAAUUGGCAUGUUAUCGGAUUGCUAAGGUUGAAACGUGAACUUUGAUGUGUGGUCAGAAUGUGAGUUUCUCUCUGAUGGAUGUGUUGAAUGAAUCGAUCACUUGUAUAUAUUAGUUUAGCUUUUAUCUUUAUCUUUUAGUAGGAAUAUUAGAACAAACCCUUAAACCCCCCCCACCCCCCCUGAUUACCUUGUACCAUAUGUAUAUUUGUAAAUCAAUACUUGUAAAUGUAUAUAUUGAUAACUACUGACUUUUUACAUGACCAUUGUCACAAGAGCAUCCUUAGUCCCCGGAUUGAUCAAAUCUUAUUUGUCUUAUACUACGAUUGUCAAAAAGGGUUCUUAAUUGUCGCACGCCAGGUAACGGGCGCGUCAACUAAUUGUAGUGUUUUUUUUUCUUUAUUUGAGAAGGUUCUAAUUGCAGUGCUUCUACCCAAAAAGUUUACUCACAAAAAGAAAUCAAGAAAUAGGAAAAACCACAAAGAUAUGGUCAUAAUUCACUUGAGAUGAAUUUUGACUCAAGCAACACCAAAUGACCUACAAGCCAGCUUAGCAUGUAGACACAAAUCGUAAUUGUUUUCGUGAAAUCCCGCAGACCUUGUAAAAGUUUUGGUGUGUCUUUUGCUCCUGGUCUCUGCCAACUGGCUACCUGCAACAAGAGAUUGACCGGGUCUUACCGGUCUUUCUCUCUCCGAUGGUUAAGUCAGUUGGGUGGUUGGUAAAAUAUAUUUAAUGCUCGGAAUUAAUUACCUCUUUUGUUGACUUUAGCAUUGCAUUUAGAACCCCCGCGUGGACUUCUUUGUUGCUUGCCAAUCGAUAUGGGACAAGUGUGCUGUUGUGAUUUGUUUACUUGGCCCUUUGCUGUGUGCCUCCUGCUCAGUCCAGACUGCUAUGCCCUCCAGAACAAGGCCUGCUUAGUCUACCUCUUGGUGGACUUCUGGUAGCAUCGUGGGCCGAUGAUGUAUUCAUCUACUAUCGACUACAGUAACCAAUUAUGAAAUCGCAAAUUGUGGUCACAAAGCCGAACUUUUGCGAGCCAACAUCAACAUCUAAAUAGUACCAACGAGACCACUACCAAUGGCGGAGCGGAUUGACAAGGCUUAAGCCAUGGUAACUUUUUUCAGUAAAAAAAAAAAAAAAAACAAAACUAACUCACAUAAACUAAAAAAAAAAAGAAAAAAUAAGUAAUAAUAACCUAAUUAGUACAUUCGUUUUCGGUUUAACCCGUUUAAACUUUAAAGUACUACGAACAACUACAAUAGACUCUCUCUCUCUCUCUCUCUCUCUCUCCAAUUCCCAAAUAUGCUUGUCUCCCCACCUCAAAUUUCCAAUUUUGGAAUUUGCCAGUCUCCCUACCAAUCCAUUUUCCCAAUCGUCGACUGCUCUCUCAAUCGCCGGGAAGCCCAAGCUACUCUCUCGAGCUCGACCAGGCUACUCACUCAAUUGCCAAUUCGCCGACUGUGGCUUACUCAACCUUAGUAAGCUUAAUCUUUGAUUGUUAUUUGUGGGCUUAACUAAAGUCAUUGUGAUAAAAUGAUUGUUGAUUAUGAUUAUUGGAGAAUGUUAUCGAGUCUUAUAGUAGCCAUUCUACCAUAACAAUUUUACCUAGAAAGAUUAUUGUUAAUGAGGUGGUGAUUAAUGAUUUUGAGCUUUAGGGCCCUGUAGGUUAUGGUUUAGUUAGUUUUUAUUUAUGUGCUUCUUCUCUUGUUUUUUUUGUAACUCUCAUGCCAUAACUAUUAAUAAAACUCGAGAAUACAGAGAAGGGGGGGAGGGACAUUAAGCAUAAACCUCAUAAUGUAACAACAUCCCGAAAUAAUAUUAAGAGUGACUACCAUGCCUUCUAUCAAGCAUCAUUUAGUAAGGAGUGCAUCAUUGGCUACUCUAUUUACUUUACAAUUUUGGUGACAUACAGGAAAGAUAAAGCCCAUGUAGAGCCAUAUAUUACUAUGUCUAUCAGCUUUCCCAUUAUGUUGUCACUAGAAGAUAUCUCCAGUGACACUAAGUCUCAUCCUUCCACUAGGAGGCUACGACCAUUUGACGAAACAAAGAACUCACUGCCUCAUUGGAGUAUACAUGGCAUGCUGAGUGCACCUACCAAGACAUAACCCACGUCGCCGUACCAAAUAACGGUAGAGGCUUAUUACCAGCAUAAAGCCACAAUUGACUAAUAACAAUAAAAAUAAAAAAUCAAUAAUAAAUAGGAUGGUGCUAUUAACACACCCCCUGUAUAGUGAGAAUCAAUCAUCAAUCAUCAAUCAAAUUCAAGUGGCAAGUUUGUAAAUAAAAUAAAAAUGUGUAGAUAGGAAAAUAGAUGUGGUGUGUUAAUAGGAAAAAGAGGUGUGUUAAUAACAAUAGCCUAAUAAAUAAAACAAAAAGAUUUUGGGCCCAGAGCCCAAACUCAAAACUUAUUUAGCCCAAACCAAAAGACAAUGUUUCUACUUGCACCUCGCCGCCGAUCUGCAAGCUACGCCAUCCACUCACCGGCAGCCAACCCGCUACAUUGAACAACAUCAGUCUGACCGUCCAUCUCACCGCCCUGGCCGAGGCACGCAUGGCCACCACCUCCUCUCCCCUGGGCAGAUCCACGUAACACAGACAAUUUGGGAUCCACUCCGAUCCGAUCUAAACUUAGCAUGGAUCCGAUCCGAUUUGCAUGAAGCAUGGAUCCAAUCCGAUUUGAAUUGUGCAUCGAUUGUUGCCCCCUCCUUUUGUUCGCCUCCCACCCUUGGGGGGAUCGACCCCAAUCUGACCCACAAGCCAUCAAAUUGAACAACGAGGACGUCACAGAUGACAAGACCCACCCUGAAUUUCACUUUGAAACCCGGAGUAAGUCGUGCGGGGACCACCUCUAAGGAAGAUAUUACAAAAAAUUCGGCAUGACCUCCCUUGAAAAUGGACAACCCUUCCUGAAGAAACCUGCAAACACUCCUAUAAUUCUCAAUCCAACCUUAACUUCUGGAGCCUACGUGCUCCCCAAACACAACCACCACCAAUAACAAAAAAUAAUAAAACAUCUUCCAAAUCAACACAUCAUUAUCCAAAUAAGAUAACAUAAAUUGACACGACCCACCCCAAAUUUCACCCUGAAACCGGGAGUAAGUCGUGCGGGGACCACCUCCAAGGAAAAUUUACCGAAAAAGAUUGGUAAAACCUCCCUUGAAAAUGGACAACCCUAACCCGAAAAUUUCAAAUUUACACUCUUAAUACAACACGUCCAAACAUCACAUAAUUUUCCUUCAGAAAUUCUAAACAUAAUAUUAAACGACCGAGCACACCACCGAAAUAAUAUACAAUAAUCCCAAAGUAUUCAGAGCUACUAGACACUAGCGGAAGCAAGAAAACACUAGUAGGUUAAACAGGUAACCUACUGAUGAAAACUGGCAGAAAUGCGGGUGACUAUGCCUCGCCUCCUACUAGAUCCAACCCGAACUCUGCAGACUGGGCAAUUUAAAACGAAGGGCCCAGGGGAAAACAUUUAAUAACGUUAGAGUGAGUGGACAAAAAUAAAAUAAUAAAUAAAAUAUUUAUGUUUCCCCAAAUUAAUUUCUAAGGAAAAAUCGAAUGCAUGCCGCAAGCGAUAAAACUUUUAUCUCAUAAAAUAUCGAGCCUCUAUCGAGCCUCUCAGACUCUAUAAUAUAUGUAUGUAUUUACACUCGUCCAUACUCCCUAUAUAAAUUCAUGGGUCUAUAUAGGGCUACUACGCUCGCGUCCAACGCUCACGUCACGCCUUAAUGCGGUGCUACACUACGCCAUUAAUGUGGACAGAUGGGUGUAUAAAUAUGUGUCUAUACCCCCUAUGUGAAUUAAACACUCAUAUAGGGCUACUACGCUCACGUUCAGCGCUCACGUCACACCAUAAUGCGGCUAUAUGCUAUGCCAUUAAGGUGGACAGACACAUAUGGCUAGCUAGCAUUUUAUAUACAUACUCUCUCAUAAAUACAUAUUUAUAUCCACCGAAAAUCCCAUUUUCAGUAACUCUCCAAGAGAAAUAAAAUUCGUCAAAUUAAAAUGACGUCAAAAUAUUCCGCAACAAUUAUUGUUCAACCAUGAACUCUAGCAUGCAUUUUAUUUAAAACAAAAGUCCACUCACAAAUUUGGCCUAAGCCUGAUGUCGAUCUGGGGCCUCGUCUGCUCGAGCCUCCUCACGCCUGUUCCAAAUAUAAUAUUAAUUUCCCAACUAACAAUUCAAUAUUUAAUCAAAAUAGGCAAAAUUACCCGAGAGCCAUAAAUACGCUCAUCAUUGCCUAACUUCGCUAAUCUUAAAUCGAAACGAUCCGAACUUAAAUAUCAUACUCGGCAACCGUAAAUACAACCUCCCCAAAAAUACGACUUAAAUCCUACGGCCGGAUUCUACAUUAAUUAACCGCCAAAAAUACCACACUUCGGAAAUUCAUAAACCUAUCCAAAACUCAUCCAAAAAUUCCAUAACUCACUUUAAUAAACUCCCCUUAAUAUUCCAAAUUUAACAACAUUAAAAAUCUCCCAACCGGUGGCGGCGCCGGCGGCGGCUCCGCGGGCAGCGGCGGCCGAAGGCCAAUUCCGGCGACCUCUGAUUCCUAUGAAAUUUUGACAGAAUAAUCCUCUCUUCAUGCUCUACAACUUUCCUAACUAGCACAAACACCAAUUCCAAGCCUAACUAGGGUAAUUGACUAAAAACAUCAAAAACGCUCUAGAAUUUCAACUUCACAUUUCUCCUUACCUAACUCAAGAGAGGGUGAGCUGUUUGGAGGGCUUGCUGCACGGGAGGAGGGCUACAAAACGAGCCAAGGAUCGCCGGUUUUGGUGGCCGGAGGAGGGAGUUCCGGUGUCGGGAGGCUUAACACAGUCGGACCUCUCGGGCCAGAUAUCUUCCUCACGGCGGCGCUAGGGGAGCUGUCACUGGUCCAGGGAUGUAGCUGGGUCGGAGGCCGACCGAACGGGACCGGUGCGGCGGCGGUUGGUGGCCGAACGGAGGCGGACAGCCAAGAAGAAAACCGGCGAGGAGAGAGGGCUCGGGUGCGGAAAAACCGGGAGGGAGAGAGAGAGAAAAAGGGCUGGGCUUUGACCACCCCUUGGCUCGGUCCAACCUUCUUAUACCACCCAAAUCCAAAAUAAAACACCCCGAAAAAUAAUACCCGAAUAAAAAUUACUUUUACUAGCUAAAAUUUACCAUUUUUACCGUUGUCAUAUUUUCUCCCACGAAUAAUUCCCCGAAAUUAAUCGUCCCUCAAAACACCUCUAGGGACCGAUUAAACUAUUAUCUCAAUGACGGAGACGGUAAAAUUCUUAUUAUAAUCAAGCUAGUAAAUAAGAUAAAAAUAUAAGGGUCGGGAUGUGACAUAAAUCCUCUGUCAAAUAUUCUAAAAAAUAUCAACAAGCCUUCGCCCACAACCGAAAUAAUAUACAUUAAACCCAAGUAUUCAGAGCUACUAGACACUAACGGAAGUAAGAAAACACAGGUAGGUUAAACAGGUAACCUACAGAAGAAAAAUGGUGGAAAUGCAGGUGACUAUGCCUCGUCUCCUACUAGGUCCAACCCGUACUCUGCAGACUGGGCAUUUUAAAAUGAAUGGCUCAGGGGAAAACAUUUAAUAACGUUAGAGUGAGUGGACAAAAAUAAAUUAAUAAAAAUAUUUAUGCAUUCCCAUUUUAAUUUCCAAAGAAAUUUGACUGCAUGCGACCGCUCAAAAACGCUCAACUCAUAAACUGGCAAUUUCACGACUAGCUCCGGCUAGUCACCAACUCAAAUAAAAUGGAGUCUGUCAGGCUAAACUAUAUAUAAACAUAUAUGUGUAUGUAUUUACACUCGUAAGACUCCUUGUAUGAAUUCUAAGAACAAAUUAGAAAGAUAGAAAUUCAUACAAGGCUACGACGCUUACGUCUAACGCUCACGUUGCGCCAUAAUGAAAUUUUUUCCUCAUUAUGACUGAAGAGGACGGUGUAUAUAUACGUGUGGACUCCCUAUAUGAAAACCUAAAUAAACCAGAAAAAAAAGUAGUUUUCAUAUAGGGCUAUGACGCUUGUGUCUAACACUCCCGUCACGCCAUAAUGGCAUUUUACCUCAUUAUGACGGACCAAGCACGUAAGGAUAGCUAGCAUUUAUAUACAUACUAUACUCAUAAUAUCUAAUAAACAUAUCCAUCGAAAAUCUCAUCUUCGGGAUCUCUCCAAAGGAGGAAAAUUGCCAAAUAUCCGAGAAACAAAAUAAAUCUCAGGAAAAGAAAUAAAUGAUCAACAAGAUAAUUCAUCGCAUGUUUUUCAAUUAAAACAAAGGUCCACUCACAAAUUAGGCCUAAGCCUGAUGUCGCUCCGAGGCUUCUUCUGCUCGGGCCUCCUCUCGUCAUGAACCAAAUAUACAAUUAAUUUCCCAACUAAAAAUCCAAUAUUUAAACAAAAUGGGCAAAAUUAAACGUGAGCCUCCUACACACUCAUCAUUGCCCAACUUCGCCAUUCUUAACUCAAAAUGGCUCAAACUUCACCGAACAUACCGGCAGCCCUAAUUACAACUUCCCCUAUAAAAUGACUUAAAUCCUACGGCCGGAUUCUACAUUAUUCAACCGCCAAAAAUACCACACUUCGGAAAUUCAAAAACCUAUCCAAAUCUCAUCCGAAAAUUCCAUAAUUCACAUCAAUAAACUCCCCUUAAUAUUCCACACUUAAAACUAUACAAAAUCCCAAACAGUGGCGGCCGGAGGCCGAUUCCAGCGACCUCCAAUGCCUUUGAAAUUUUGAUAGAAUAAUCCUCUCAUCAUGUUCUACAACUUUCCUAACUAGCACAAACCCAAAAUCCAAGCCUAGCUAUGCCAAUCGAAUGGAAACAUCAAAAACGCCUUAGAACUUCCACCUCAAAUUUCUCCUUACCUGAAGCGAACCAGAGUGAGUCCUUUUAGGGCAAGGCAGCUGUGUUGGAGACCUACAAAACCGUAUAAGGCUUGCCGGAUUGGUGGCCGGAGGAGGGAACUCCGGCGAGAACACAGUCGGUCCUUCGGGACAAGUUUCCUUCCGCUCGGUAGUGAUGUGGCAGCGCUCACCGGCCAAGGAUGAGAGAGGAGGAGACGCCGGUCCAGACGGGACCGGUGCGGCAGCCUGGCUCGGCCGGACGACAGCGGUGAGCGGUGGAUUUCUGGCAGAGGAAGAGAGAGCUCGGGAGGGAAGAACCGGGAGGAAAGAGAGAAGGAAGAGAGAAGAAAGAAAUGGGUUUUGGGCCUUUUAACCCCAAACCGGGCUGACUCUAAAAAUACCCACACCAAACCUAAACCCAACUCCACCAAAAAGUUACACCCCAAAAUAAUAUCCUAAUAAAAAUUACCUUUUACCAGCUAAAAUUUACUAUUUUUACCGUCAUCACAUUUUUCUCUGAUGAAUAACCCUCCGAAAAUAAUCGUCCCCCAAAACCCCUCUAGGGACCAAUUAAACUAUAACUUUAUUGACGGAGACGGUAAAAUUUUUAUUAUAAUCAAACUAGUAAAUAAGGUAAAAAUUUAAAGAUCGGGAUGUGACAACAGAAACUUCACCUUGAUUGGCUUUAUUCAAUGGAAUUUCUAACCCUUCCAACAACGCCGCCACGAGGGCGCCGCCGGAGGGUUCACACUCUUUUCUAUCUUCUUGGCUCUCUCUAGGGUUUUCUCUCGUCUGUGCUUCUUGUAUUUUAUCUCAUGUUGCAUUUCAGUUUAUGCAAAUACUUUGAGGGUAAGGCUUGCUCCAUCCCUGCUAUCUAGGUAGUUUUUUUUUAAAUUAACAAAAGUUCUCGCACCGUCAAGAUUCUUUGACAAAAAAAAAAUAUAUAUUGUGUUACAAUUAGGUCGGGUAACAAAUUCAUCUAGACUCCGCCACUGACCUUCAUAAGUAUGUGAAAUCAUAUCUGUUCAUAAUUGGGCGCACCACUUUUGGGGAGUGGUAACGAGUUCACCUCAUCAUCAUCCACACUGAUCAUGUUUGCAAGAAAUAUAAAAUACAACAACACCUAACAAUUACAACUAAUUUUAAUAUAAAACACGAAGAACCUCCUCCAUACCGAUUGCUAAAAAAACCAUCAUAGCAAUGAGAAUUACGUCUGUUGGAGAGGAGAUAUCACACAAAUAAAAUAUAACUUAUAUGUGGGUGGAUCAUACCCAAUUGUAUCGAGGCCUUAUGUGAUUAAAACCCAACACCAUAAAGGUGGUUAAGUUGGGACAAUAACGGUACAAGGUUGGUUCACGGGCCACGUUUGUCGCUAUUUAACUUGUUAUCAGAGCGAGUCAUUUUCCAGUUGCAUCCCAGUCUAGGAUUUUCCAAGUUUGGGUGCCAUGCUGGCCAAGCUUAGGUGUCAUGCCUUGCCAUCAGAAGAAGUCCGAUCGGAUUGUCACCAAGUGUCUUAUGUGGGCCAGGUUGGUCGGGUCGAUUGGUUUAGACAGACACGUGUAUACUGUUAUGUUGUACGUGAAGGUUCGUGUUCGAGAAGAGAGGGUGACACAGAUUGAUGUGCAGACCUAAAAAGUUAGGUUGCACGUGAGGGGGCGUGUUGGAGAUGAGAGAUCACAUAUCAGAAAAGUGACAAAUAAAAUAGAACUUAUAUGUGGGUGGAUCAUACUCAAUUGUACUGAGGUUUUUAGUGAUUAAAACUCAACACCUUAAAGGUGGUUAAGUUGAGACAAUAUCGGUACAAGGAUGAUCUACGGGCCACGCUUAUCGUUGUUUAACAACGUCAAACCAAUAACACUAGAGUCAAUAUCAAAUUUGAAAUCAUUACUCCAACAAGGCAAACCACCGCGUUAUCUAUCACAAAACUGCACUAAACAACGUUGUCAAGCCACCAUUGUCAUCACUUGAAGCUAAACCUAGAAUCGUAGAAAAGCCACCCACGAGUCCAAGAUCAAACCAAAACAUGAUGUAGUGAGAAACAUGAGCCCAGGCUACUUAGUCCAGAUAUAGGAAGAUAAACAAUGUUGACUGUCUCCUAAGGUUAGAUAAAAAAUUAAAAAUCAACCUCAUUCGUCAAAUUUUAGAAGAACCUAUACGGUGAAGCAUAGAUCAUGAGAGUCUUGCUUCAUUUUUUUUCAUUCAUUUUUAGUUGAAAGUAAAGAACAUUAUCGAUGACCAAAAACAAAAAUACAUUCUCAACCACCUGGUGUGGUAAAAUUGGUUGAGCUGCCUAGAAUAGAAUUUCCAUGCAUGUCUAGAGUUCAAGUCCCAACUCGAUCCCACCUGUUUGUGGUCAUCAUCUUUGAGAGUAUUGAGUUCAUGCGUAUGUGGCGGGAGAUUAUUGGCUUUGAUAGGAUACUCUCGUUGACGAUCCUAGUCUGAAUGUUGGCUGGAUGGUGUUACUAACUUGUUAAUGUAAUCGAGACGGCUUGCUACCUCGCUCAUUCUCAAUAAUAAAAAAGAAACUACAUAAUAUUCUUUUUUUUUAGUUUCAGCCUAGAAUAGAAUUUCCAUGCAUUUCUAGAGUUCAAGUCCCAACUCAAUCCCACCAGUUUGUGGUCAUCAUCUCUGAGAGUAUUGAGUUCGUGCGUAUGUGGCGGGAGAUUAUUGGCUUUGAUAGGAUACUCUCGUUGACAAUCCCAAUCUGAAUGUUGGCUGGAUGGUGUUACUAACUUGUUAAUGUAAUCGAGACGGCUUGCUACCCCGCUCAUUCUCAAUAAUAAAAAAGAAACUACAAAAUAUUUUUUUUUUUGUUCAUUUUUCUUCACCGCUAGACUUUAUAUCAUGAGUAUGGUGUGCAUACGAUAGUUACCAGUAUCACUUUAGUUACAUCGUUCUUUGACAAAAAGUAGAGUCUAAUAAGCAUAUUCCUCAAUUCUCAAGAGUCACACUGGUACAUCAAUUAUAUCUGUGAUUGACUGACAGUAUAGUCGUAGGGAAUGGUGAUUUGUAAUAAGUAUGCUCACGAUAAAAAAUAAUACUCCGAAAUGUAGUGGAAUAAGAAUGGAAUAUGCCAAGUAUAUGCGAACUAGGAAUUAUUUUGUUUGGAUUGUAAGGAAUGAUUGAUGGUAUCCGGAAUCCCAUUAGAAAAGAAAAUUCCUUUUGAGCAAGGUGUAACAAAAUGAUUGCUUUUCUUUGGCCAAUUGGUGGAAAUAAAGCUUAAAUGACGAUCCCAUUCCCACCGUGUUUGCAUUGCUGCUAUAAUAUUUACUCCAUAUGUAGUACUGAUCAUCAAUUCGUAUCAUACCAACUACUAAAUUAUUCACAUUUUCUCACUAUGUCUCUGUAUAUGAGAAGUUUUUUUUUUUUUUUUGCAUGAAGAAAACAAUACAACGAAACAAAAAUAAAAAUUACAAUGAAAAACCCCUGGUAUAGCCUAAACCAUGAAAGUCGAAACUGAAAACAUUGACUAAGGAUAGGAUGAGUCUGUUCUGCCAGCCAACAACAAGAGUAUAAUGACCAAUAUCCGCUAUUGAAUCUGAAUGAGAGAGACAACCAACCUGAAGUAAGUAUCAGCGAUUUAACGAUGAAAUCACCAUGACCAGUUGGUCCCCAAACAAAAGAAACAAAAGAAUCUCCUAAAGGAAAUGGAGAGAGGGAUACUAGCAAUGUGUUUCAAAGUGUCAUUAGGUAGAAAUCCAUGUAAGUUAUUCAGAGACCAAGAACCAUUCAAAAUAUAAGUAUCACAGUUUCAUGACUUCAUCUAUAUUUAGCAUAAGUUUCAAAGAGUCGGGUCUGCAUAAAAGUAAAAGGUUCUAUAUGGGAAGCUUUACGUAUUGGGUUCGAAUGAUAAGAUUGAUUAAUGAAUUAUAAAUGUGAUCAUAGAUGGGCUGCAUGCAAUGCUUUUUUGGCUGUUCGGCCUAGCUGAUCAAUCUUUUAGUUUUGAUACUUUUUAUAACAACGCGAAUAAUUAUCAGAAGUACUUCCAUAUUUUUGAUGUUGGGAAUCUAACCCACCUCCACAUGCACACUUUUACUAAGGUGGCUAGCUAAGACCACGAUUCUUUGCCAAAAAAAAAAGGACCACGGUUCAUAUGCAUCUUAAAUACAUUAACUACAACUUUUCAAAUGUAUAAACAUAUAAAAUACAGAGAUUCUAUUAGAGGGACAAUCAUGUAUCUCCACAAUUAUGUACUCUUUCCAUUCAUUCAUACUAAAUAAGAUGAAGCUAACCGAGCUUGAGGCCAUGGAGCCGGGAGCUAUUAAUGUUCCGGUGAUGUCUACGAAAGUGGCCGACUUGAUACCGGUGAGGGUUGAGCCCAUCAGAGCGAGGGAGGCGGCGACACCAAGAGGGAUCGCGAAACUGAAGGUCGGGGAGAAGAAGACUAACAGCAACUCGGGGAGACCUCCGAUUUUCUCAACAAGAAGUCGCCCUAAUUUCAAAUUACGGUUGACUUCGGCUGAUUAGAAUGGGUCGUUGACCCAAGUUGCUAGGCCGAUUGAUGGACAGGCUGACCCAGAUUUGGUUGGGCCAGGGUUUGAUGAGAUGGUAAGAGGUUUGGACUUUUCUGGGCCUGUGUUUGGGCAGGUUACAGUUGAAUCUGAGCCUCUUCUUUAUGAGGUUCCGGUAAAGGUUGGCAGUCAACUGACUUACAAGUGGAAGGUUGGCCGCCCAAUUGGAAGCAAGAACAAGAAGUCUCGCCCUAGUAAGAAGAUUUCUAACCCACUACCUCGUAUUCCAACGUCGGACUGGGAGAAAGAGUAUAACCCAACUGGUAAGGGCAAGAGUGUCGUGUAGACUCUCAGUUUUUUCCUACAUUUCUUAUCUAUAAUUUCUCUGUUUUAACUCUCGGUUCUACUUUGUUCUACACCAAUCGAGGUCCGCAGACAACAGGUAUUACCGUUACAUGAGGGUUAGAUAGGGUAGUUAGAGUUCAUUUGUGGUAGGUAUUAUGCGCGCAUUUUACAAUGAGGGUUCCCUGUCAUGUUGUUAUUGCUUGUUGCCAACUAGAUUAGUGUUGUGAGUAGAUAAUGUGAUGUACAUACGCGGGUGCCUUCUGACCAAGGAUAUAUUAAUGAAAAUAUCUAUCUGAGUCAAAAAAAAAACCAUGAAGUUAACCGAGGCUAAUUUGCAAUGAGCAUGAAUUCAUUUUUAAACAUAAAUAAAUAAAUGAUAUAUUGAAUUUAGAAACGCUAACUCAUCAACUAGGAUAUGAAAUCGAAUUCGAAAAGACACUUCCUCAUUUGAUUUGAUUUUCAUUUCAUUGCGGAGACAACCAUGCCAUCUAUAUAUGUUUGCCCUUAGGAUUGUGUCAAGGGUUGCCAAAAAAAAAAGGAUUGUGUUAAGGGGCACUUUCUCGUCAGUUUUCAUAAAAUUUGGAUUUUGUAUAAUGUAAUCAUAAAAGUGGAUUUGGUGAUAGCUAGGUGUUGAUACCCGAAAAAUCAUGCAAUCAAUUAAUACUUUGUCACGCGAUAAUUUGUUAAGAAAUUCAUGCAAUCUUAGGUUAAAUCAUUGAUUUAACCCGCCAAGCGAACAUGCCCAUGCAUUCAUGUGGGCCCAAGCUGCAUACACGCAUCAUUGGGGCUUGUAGAAGUGGGUAUGAUGUGGAUGGUUACGGAAGCACAUAACGCUCGUCCAUUGAUUUAAUGUUGUUAAGUAGUUUCGGUCUUGGGCCCGAAACUCAAGCCUGACGAUUUAAGUCGGCGACGAAUCGGUGAAGACAAGAGAAUUGAACUACUUUUCCUAAACCUAAAAUAUCAAUCCAAAGCCCAACACCUUUCCUUUUAGAAAAAUCCCAAACUCUCUUCUUUUAGGAAAAGCCCAAUCCCUUUCUGCAUUCCCACUUUAUGUUCUUCCCCGCAGCAGUACGACGACAAGCUUUGCACAACAGAAAAAUCUCAUUCAUUCCCAAUCCGAGGAAGAAGAAAGUCAGUGACUAGUUCCAAGGUAGCUCUUUCAUCAUUGGAUGACGAAAUCGUGGGAUUCAAGCUACUUGGUCCGCCUCGUUCUAGGAUUUCCGUCUCUGUAGCCGCCCUUGCAGCGCCCCUGCAGUGAGUUAUCUCUCAUAUCUCUUAAAGUCAACCUCUCUUUGCCAGCUUUUGAGGCUAAGAUCAUGUGCUUGAGAAGAACAAUCAUUUUACACAGUGGAUUAGGCAUCGCGACCCAUCGCAAAACCCACCAAUUGAACUCUAUAAGAAGAGAGGUUUGGGAGCUGUAAAGCUAUGAAGCAACCAACCCAAAAAAAUCCCCAAACACUCAAGCUUUCAUAUCUUUCAAGCCUCCAAGCCAAAACCCCCUUUUUAGCCAUCCUUCAAUCCUCAUCCUUGAAACCCAGAUCAUUCCCAGAAAUCUAACCCUAAAACUCAGUCUAAUUCUCACCACUGCGGUGUGCCUUUAGCUCCCACACCGACUCACGCUACAAGUUUCUUUCGUCUUUGAAUCACGCACAAGAUUAACUCAGUAAUCCAAAUUUUUGGGUUAAUUUUGGCCUAGUUACCUUUCAAUCAAAAAGAACCCUCACAUUAGGUUUUUGGUUUCUUUCCUUGUGUUCUAUGGUUUUUAGCACCCAAAUUUUGUGUGGUACAAUACACAAAUACAUAAAUAAAUAUAAGGCUGAUAUGGUGGUUGAUUAUCAUUGUGUAAUUUAGUCGUCCACAAUAAAACAUAUAGUACUACAUAUAUACAAAUAUUUUCUGAAUGAAAUAUGUUAAAUUAUAAUAAAAGAAAAAAAUUAGGGGUGAUCUCUCUCAGAAAUAUCCAUAUACAGAUAGAAGACAUGAAAUAAGCAGGGUCUCA